rnacentral:rRNA from 1 species
AACGAACGCUGGCGGCGUGCCUAACACAUGCAAGUCGAGCGAGAAAGGGGGAGCAAUCCCCUGAGUACAGCGGCGCACGGGUGAGUAACACGUAGGUGAUCUCCCCUCGAGCCCGGAAUAACCUACCGAAAGGUGGGCUAAUACCGGAUAUGACCACGGGAGUUUUCGGCUCCUGUGGUGAAAGAUGGCCUCUACCUGUAAGCUAUCACUCAAGGAUGAGCCUGCGUGCCAUUAGCUAGUUGGUGAGGUAAUGGCUCACCAAGGCUAUGAUGGCUAGCUGGUCU